rnacentral:rRNA from 1 species
UGAGGAAUAUUGGUCAAUGGGCGGGAGCCUGAACCAGCCAAGCCGCGUGAAGGAAGAAGGCGCCAGGCGUCGUAAACUUCUUUUGUCGGGGAACAAAGGGCGCCACGCGUGGCGUUGUGAGUCGUACCCGAAGAAAAGCAUCGGCUAACUCCGUGCC